GGAGAGUAAGGUGGCGAGUCCAAGCACCGAGCAGUGUUGUAGCUUGGAACUGCAACUGUUCUGAUUGUUCCAUGAGGGGCAACACUCACUUCAUUGUCCCUUCUGAAAAGUUUGAGCUUCUUGGAGAUUCCAAAGAAUUUCUUACAACCUACACUUUUGGCACGCAUACAGCGAAGCACACAUUCUGUAAGUUUUGUGGCAUAACUUCGUUUUACAUUCCACGAUCAAAUCCAGAUGGGCUUGCGGUUACUUUCAGAUGUGUGGACCCAGGGACUCUCACUCAUGUUGAGAUUCAGUACUAUGAUGGGAGGAAUUGGGAAAGCUCAUACAAUCAGACAGGCAUUGCUUCAUACUCCCAAGGUACAGACUGAAUUGUCACUCUUUCUUCCACCACUCUCCUCUGUUUCCCUCCCUAAAGGAGAAGUACAACAUUCUGGAAAAACCUUUGUGAUGUCGCUUUUUGGAAAAUUCUCAAUGUUGGAAAAUAAAAUUAGCAAUGGCCAAGUGUUGUCCUCGGCCAAAACUUUGCCUCGUUUCCUAGUGUUAUUUGAACGAAAAAACAAGUUACCCUAUCUGCUAAUUAAGAGAGAGACACCAUGCAUUUCAUGAUUCCCACACCGAUCAUCAUUUCCCUUGAACAUGAGGAUCAAAUGGACAGCAAAAAACAGAGGUUGGAAACUAACGAUUUGCAUGUUUAAAUGACCUAAAGAAAUACAAAGUAGUCCUGGAGGUUUGGUUCACCUUUCACAACACAUAAAUUUUCAUCCCAGCACGAGCUUGAUCGCAUUUGCCAGUGUCGUUUGUGACAGCAGCCAUGGCUAGGGAAACCAAUACAGCAUAUACUAAACUGGGCACAACAACAAAUCAUGUGCUGACUUUUGUGCCCGCAAUAUCUCUACAUGUCAAAGGAGCUUCAACUCGUUAAUGUGAUCAAAGUCUUUGGUCAUGGGACUCAUGGGAAGGACUGAACUAUCAUGCCAUAAGAUGACAAGUAAUACUUAACAAAAAACAUAUUGGGAAUAUUUGUCACCUCGUUAAUUCUGUGUUUUUUCCUUUUGUUUUAUGGUUACUCGACACUUCCUUUCGAUUAAUCUGUUUUGAGUGGAGCAUCUUAAUUAAAUUUAAUAUGACAAGAUCUUUAAUCAUAUUGGCAUCUGGAAUCUAAAAAAAAAAAUACUUCCUGCUUGACACCCUCACCUCGAUCUGUCUAAUCCAAUGGCACUGUGUAUCCAGCCAAGACCACCACCAUCUUCACGAAUGGUGUGAAUGACACAGCAAACGUUUUAGGGAAAUAUUGUCACUAACUAGCAUCUUUUACCAAUGCUGACCAUUGCAAAAUAACCUUUUUAUUUUUAUUUUUUCACGAGUAAGCUCAAGUACUGGGUUUAUAAAUACACAAAGUUACCGAGUAAAAAAAUGAAGAUAUGUCUUGGCCAUACGAGUUCUAGGUUGUAAGUCCUAGACUUCAUACAAAGGCUCCAUACAAAAACUCUCUUUACACACAUCUUACUCAUCACACAUUUAUUAAUUUAAACAUUAAAUGAUCUUUUAUUUUCAUAAAUAACUUGUUUUUUAAGUGAACACCCGUUAAACCAAGGUCAAAAACCAGUCAAUAGUCAAGAAACAUAGUCUUGUAAAACCCAAUUCCUGUUUGAUGAUUUUAUGACUUCAUCAGUCACUUGUCAACAAUUUUUAAAAUUAAUUAAGGGGAUUUUUGAUAAAAUCUUUGUCAAUAUACAAUCAUCGAUCUUUUGAUUAAAUUUUGAAGUCUACCUAUGAUCAUCAACAGCUACGACAAAGUGGAAGAUUCUACUUAACCAUUGACAUAUAUAAAUAUUUUUUAUUCCUAGAAAUCUGGGUUUCUGUAGAUAUAUUAAAUGAAGUUAUAUUUACCACUCCAUCAACCAAAAUAUAUAUGUGUGUAGGUGUGUCAAAUUAAUGAAUGGACAGAUUUGUUUGGUAUUCGAGAUAUAGCAAGACCACAUAAAAAAACUUAGCAUAAAAAACGAAGGCAUAGAUUGACCCCAUGUAAAUGUAUAUUAAACUCUCGUCUAGUGCCAUGUAUCAAGCAGAGUAUUGUCUUGUUGGUCCUUCAUUAUUAAGAACAACAGAACAAUCAAAUAUUAUAAAUUAAUCCAUAGAUAUCAUAUGCAAACAUGUAUAAAUUACGUGCCCAUGUAGAUAGGUUAGACAGAACACAAAACAUUAAUUCUAAACUCAUGAGUGAGCAUGUCUUGUCAUCACUAGGCUAUGAUAAUAUAAAAUUUAAGAAUUGAUUUACCCAUAGUAGAUGACUCAUUAAGUGCUUAGUACUGACACCUUUUAUCUGGAUAUGUCAUUGGUCGCGCUAAUUUUUAUACCAAAGAAGCUCAAGGCAAUAAAUCUCUCAACUAUCGAUAUAGUUGCCAUAAAUAUUAAGGGAAUCAUCUUAUGAGUUAAUGCUUCAACUUAUAUUUGUUAAACUCAAUUGAUGGGUUAAUUUAGAAAAUUUAUAAUUCAAAACUUGACAUGGAUUAUGUUUUAAAUUAAUAAAAAAGACGAUAACUUGUGAAACUCAGUUCACAUAUCGAGUAUUGGAUCAACUUGACAAUUACUUUUUAUGGAAGAGCCUAGGCAUAUAUGGCCAUGGGUUGUAAGACUCUCCACCACAUUUUUACAAGUGUUUUAGGCCCAUUAUUGGUCAUUCGGCUAAGAAACACACAAGAAAUCCUAUAAAAUGAACCCAAAAAAGAGCCUCCAGUACAUACACAUACACACACAUUCUCAGACAGCUGAAAGCAGCAUUUGUUGCCAGCACGAGGCUUGAGCAACAGUCCUACAGCCAGCAAAAUUGACUUUUUUUUUCUUCAGGUAAAUCCCUUUGCUUCUCUUCUUAUCGAUGUUAAUGAUAAUCUUGUGUUAUAUCAUGUGUUGUUUCUCUGUCUGCUAAAUUCAGCUACAUCUAUUGUGGUUUGGAAUUUAUAGAUACUAAAGAUGUUAGUUUAUCCUGGCAACUGUAUAUGUUGGAGUUUAGAUCAACAAAGUGCUGAGAAAGUGUUUGUGGGUUCGAUUCAAUAAAGAAGAUUUAGAAGGACCAAGUUGGUGAUAUAGGAGGACUGUUACUACUUUAGGCAAAGGAAAGAAGUGCAUGAUCUAUUGAAGUGUGUUUCUAAUAAGAAGAAAAGUAUUAGUGUGUGAUUGAUGCAUGCAUGAUCAGAUGGAGGGUUGGAGAUCAGGUAUUAGUUCAUAACAGGGGGACUUGUUGUAGCUUAGUUUUCAAAGCUGCUACUAGGGAGCUCCAGUGGGAUUUUGAGCUGGGGUUUGAUGGGGUAUUUGAAGACGGGGAUCUUUUUCUAGCUGUUUUAGGUCAGUACAGUAGAUUGGUGAAUGUUUCUUAGACCGAGGUUGGUCGAAGGUGUGUCAAUAGGUGCAAGGGAGGAUGGUGCUGGCUCUUGGAAAAGCACUAGUAGUGAUUGGAAAGUCUCUCAUCUGAGGUAGGUGAUGGGUGAAGGAACUUGUUGCGACAAGUGUUUGAUGUGGUGAAGAAGAAAAGGGAACUGAUAUUUAGUUAUAUUGAGGGCGGAGGGAGGAUGGCAUCAUGGGAUUUGACAUUCAAAGGGUUUCAAAUAAUUGUUGAACGAAAUAGACUGAAAUCUAAUGAAGCUAAUGGAUUUCUUUCAGCCAAUAUGAAGUGUGUUGAUAAUAGGUAUUGAAAAGUUCUAGGUGGAUAUCGGCGCAUCCAAGACCCAACCAUUUCUCACUUCUGCAUAUUUAAGGAUGCUGAAAACAAUGGCCAUUAGACCUCAUUUCUUAGUUUUUCUCUUAUUGUAAUCGGUGUUGAAUGAAGUUUUCUCAAAAACUUGGUUUCCUUCUUGUUUUCCAUUAACCAAUUUCCACCUGAUCUGGCUUAAGCAGUUGUUUCUAAUGAGUUCUCAAUGUUUAGCAGAAAUUAUGCUUGCUUGUUGGAUAUUAUACAUAAAAACUCAUACUUUGUCCCGCCAUCAUUAUUUGCAAGCUUAUAAACAAUUUCAUAUAAUUUGAAGCGAAUUCUAGUGAAAGCAAAUUCAAGUGAAAGCAAAUUCCAUGUUCUCACAAUUUGGCUCAUACCUGCAUUUCUCAGGAGAGAGUAUUUCAGCUGACACAUUUUUCAGUCUGGGGACUCUAUUUCUGAAUACUUGCUAUCCCAUCGCUGACUGCUAUGUAUUGUUUGCAUAUUUUUUUUAUUGAUUGCAGCCACCGGAUUCAUCCAGGAGAAGCCACCAUUUCCAACCAGUGCUUUCGUGAAUGGAAUCAGAUAUGGUAAUGCAUCAUGGAGGAUGUCAUUGCAGGAGAGUAAGGUGGCGAAUCCAAGCACCAAGCAGUGUUGUAGCUUUGAACUGCAACUGUUCUGUUUGUUCCAUGAGGGCUGGCACUCAGUUCAUUGUCCCUUCUGAAAAGUUUGAGCUUCUAGGAGAUUCCAAAGAAUGUCUUACAACCUACACUUUUGGCACGCAUACAGCAAAGCACACAUUCUGUAAGUUCUGUGGCAUAACUUCGUUUUACGUUCCACGAGCAGAUCCAGACGGGUUUUCGAUUACUGUCAGUUGUGUUGACCCUGGGACUCUCACUCAUGUUGAGAUUAAGCACUUUGAUGGACAGAAUUGGGAAAGGUCAUACAAUCAGGCAUUUGCUUCAUGCUCCCAAGGUGCUGGCUGCUGAAGUGUCGUUCUUUCUACCACCACUCUCCUCGCCUUCCCUCCCUAAAGUAGUACAAUAUUAUGGAAAAACCUUUGUGAUAUCGCUCUUUGGAACAUUCUCAGAGUUGGAAAAUAAAAUUAGCUAUGUUAGCUAAUUGAUUGGUUAUACGUGUAGCUAAUUGAUUGGUUACUUGUGCUAUUGACUGUUCAUGUUUUAAUAAAGACUUUGUUCAUCCUUAAUGAGGUACAAGCCUGAGCACUUACAAAUUUCAGAUUUGAAGGAAGCUCCCCGAGUGAUUGAAGCCUCUUGCAAUCAUCCAAAUAUAGAUAUUCAAGAUUGGAAGGUUCGUGGAUACUUGCAGGUAGACUAGUAAAGUUGUUGCCACUCACGUUUUUUAUUAAUUUAGUCAAAGCAAUCUUCUAGUUUUGAAAGUAUAAUAAUUUUUGUUUUUAAAUAUUUUUUAAAAUAUAUUUAAUGUAAAAAAAAACAUCAAUUAAUAUUUUUUUUUAGUUUCUUAUCAUAUUUUUAAUUUUUUGAUAUUAAAAAUAAUUUUUUUAAUAAAUUUACAAUAAAAUAUAUUUUUAAAAAAUAAAAGAAGAGACAAAAAUAUCCAUCCACCAUAAUUAAAGGUGAUUUGACAUCCUCCAGACAUUACAUAUUAUAUCAUAUCAUAUCAUACAAAGAUAUUUAUCCUGUAAUUUAAAAUAAUAAAAGAGUUGAUGUAAAGUUAGCAUGUCACCUUUUGACGAAACUUCCCUCACAUUAGCUAGAAAGGUGCUACCCUCAAAUCGGUGUGACGUUCGAUUGUAGUAAGCUCGUGCAAGAGUUGUCUUUUCUAUUCCUCCCAUCCCACAAAUCCCUAUGAUGCGAACACCAUUAGACCCUAGAUAGUGCAGGGCUCAGUAUACUCAGUAUGCUUUGCACAAUAUCUUGUAUAAAGUUUGAUUCAUGCCUAUAAACUGGAAGGAUGAAUAAGAAAGUUUCGAGUCGUAAUACAUUUUGAAGGAAAAAAAUAAAUCAGUGUUCGUCUACAUAUUACAAUUAAAAAAAAAUGGCAUAUGACAUCAUGUGUCAUACUUGGAAGAAGGGGAGGUCAUGCUAAUGCAGAAAAUAUAAGCGUGCAUCUCUUAGUGCAGAGAUUUAUACAGACAUGUACUAUUUAAAGGAUAGACAGAAGGGCUUAAACUUAUAAAAUUCUGGAAAUUUUUGCAGUAACUGAUAUCUGUCAAACUUUGAGUCUUUCCCAACUGAAAUUGUAGUUCUGAUAUUUAAGAUUGUUUGAAAAUGAUUUGGCUUUUAAGCAAACCCAGUGAAUUUUGUUACUGUUUUGUUUUCAGACAGAUGGGUAAAGAUAGAUAGAUAAACUUAAAGAGAAAGAGUUGCAUUUAACAUUUUACGGCUUGUUUUUCAAAGUCAAUGACUGCUAGGCUGCUGACCAUGUUGAAAAUGUUAUACUUUUAAAAAAUAAAAUGAAAAUUGUUUUUUAAAGUAUUUUUUAUUUUAAAAUAUAUUAAAAUAUUUUUUUAUAUUUUUAAAAUUUUAAUUUUGAUAUCAGUAUUAUAAAAUAAACCAUUUAUAAUAAAAAUAAAAUUUAAAAUUUUAAAAAAAAAACGUUAUAAUCGCAAAAACAAGCAAUCAUAUAGAUUAUAUUUUUUAAGAGAUUUUAAAAAUAAAUGAAACCAGAAAAAAAAUUAAGCAUGUAUAUCUUUGCCUUAAUUUUCCUUUUCUAAAUAUCCUUUAGUGACAAAAUUUACCAUGUAAAAAGUCCUCCAACUUUUAUCCUUUUUUUUUCUUUCUUUGUGCCCAUGCUUAUUUCAUUUGAGUGAUUUUUAGAAUGUUGUUUUGAUAGAAAAACAUCUCAAAAUAAAAUUUAAUUGAUAUCUUUUCAACUCAAACAUGUAUUUGUUAUAAGUGAAAAUGGUGACAAAUUCAAGGAAAGUGUAAUGCUUCUUUACCAUCAAAACUCAAAGCCAUGCUUUAAGUUCAGAACUUCAUCAAAUGCCCUAAUUUAAAAAUAUUGGCUUUCAAUGUUACAUGACUGAAGAUGAAAGUUUUUAGAAGUUCACAUUACUUGCAAGUCUAACUAGGUUGGUGCCUUUCAGACCUUUUAAAUAGAGAAAAAAUAAAGAGGGAAUAAAAAAAAUGUCACGACUUGAAUCUCGGAUUCAUGACUAGCAACGCAGUGUCGAAAAAAUAUCAUACCUACACUAAGCCUCAGAACAAACAUAUCAAAAGAACAAAUUAUUUGAAAAUACACAGCUUUUCAUAAACCUCAAAAAAUAUUAUAUUAUAUUACUUGCAGGUCUAACCAGGUGCCUCUCAGACCUUUUAAAUAGAGAAAAAAAAGAGGUGAUAAAAAAAAAAUGACGAUCAUACAUACCUUUUGUUGAAAUAAUUAAGAUCAAACAUAAAAAGGGAAACUAGAAUUCUGAAUAAUCUAAAACAACUAAUAAAAUUGGUAAUAAUUUACUAAAUAACCCUUAAUUAUUCAUCAAACUAAUCUGUAAAAGCUAAUAUUACAGCUAGGGAUUAAUCUGGAAUUUAUCAUAUUUUUAGGGCCAAAUUAUAAAUUUUUUUCAAAUUGGAGGACCAAAUUGAAAGUGUUAAAUUUUCUUAUCUAUACAGUAAUUCUGCCCAUAAUUCAUAUGUUAUUCUGGUCAGAAUCUCGGAAUAUGCUCUAGGGAUAUAUUUGUAAUGUAUGAUCAUCAAUAAAAGAGAUAAUAUCGAGACCCACCUUUUGUAGCAACAAGAAAAGAUCCCCAUACAUCAGAAUGAAUCAAAUCAAAUGGUGAAGAAGAAACAGAAAUACUUCGAUUAAAAGGUAAGGCGGAAAUUUUUGACAAUUUACAUCCACUACAAUCAGAAAUGUCACAAGUUUUUAAAUUUUCUAAAGCUCCUGUGGAUGCCAAAAAUCUCAAACGAGAAGAUGAAACUAGACCUACACGGGAAUGCCAUAAAUAAAAACUAGAAGAUGAAAGACUCAAAUGAAAGGAAGACAAAUCAACGAUAGUAGCAGCAGUGGCAACAACAGCAACUGACACUUUUAACUCAUCCAAAAUAUAUAGUCCAUUCUCUCUACGACCUGUCCCAAUCAGCUUCUGAGACUACAGAUCCUGUAUACAACAAAACAACCAACCAGAAUAACAUAUUGAUCACAGACCACGCAAGAUUCAAUUUGAGUUUUGGAAUAAGAUAAACAUUAGGGAGAGACAAGUGAGGUGUGACAACAGAACCAACACCUGCUAAGGGCAUAUGAGUGCCAUCAACAGUCAUAACAGGAAUGGAGGACAAAGGGGACACAGAGGUAAAAGAUGAGGAAUUUGAAGACAUAUGAUGAGAAUCACCAGAAUCCAAGACCCAUUCAGAGUGUGACAUACCUGAGGAACUAUGAGGCAACUCACCUAUGGAAGAAGAAGCGGACAUUGCUUGUGGCUGCAAGGAGAGAAACUUUUUAAAUUGCUCAGCCAAAAUAUUAAGAUCGGUAAUAGAGCUUGAGGAAGCUACUGCUGCAAUAUUGUGGUAUGGUGGUUUAUAACCCUGAGGUGGUUUAUGAGCAUUAGAUUAUGAUUGAUUGCCAGACUUCCAAGCUUGAUUCUGCUUUCUCAACUUACGACACUGAGCCUUCCAAUGAACUUUCUGCUUACAGAAACUGCACUCAUCGAAGCCAACCCUUGUGUAAGGCUUAUUUUGAUGAUUAGAGAAUGACUUAGAAGGCACUGCUAAUACUGAAGGAUUUGAAGCAGAAAGAAUUCUCUUUUUAGAAUAAGACUGAAGACGUAUUUCUUCAGCCAAUAACUCACUAACAACAGAGUCAACAAAAGGCAGUGAAGAACGAUGCAGAAUUGAACCUCUAAGUCCUUUGAAAUCACGACGAAGUGCUGUUAAAAAUUGUACCAAUCGUUGUUGCUCUCUACACUCAAUAUAGGCAUCACAUGCCUUUAAUUAUGUCGAUUCUAUAAGAGCUAAUUGAUCCCAAAAAUUUGUCAUAUCAGAAUAAAACUCUUGAAUACUCAUAUUCUUCUGAUGAAAAGCUCGUAUGUCAUUCUCUAAUUAAUACUGUUUUGAAAAAUUUGAUUGUGUGAAUAACAUUUGUAGAUGAUUCCAAACCUCUUUUGUUGUCUUAUACUUCGCCAACUGCAUACCUAUUGAAUGCUCAACAUAAUUGUUGAUCCAAGUAAUAAUCUUUGCAUUAUUUGCUUCCCAUGUAUCUAUCAAAACAGCAUCCCCCUCCUCAAUAUUCUUAGGUAUCAUAUAAGUUCUACUAACAUACCUCCACAUCUUCUUACCCUUAAGGAAAUUUCGCAUUACAUAACUCCAAUACGAAUAGUUCUUCCCAUCCAACCUCACACUCACAGACUGAAGCGAAUCAUCUCUUUUAGUAGCCAUAAUCAACAGUCACAAAAAACCAAAAUGCAAGAGCAGCGAAAAAAAAAAAUACUAAAUUGCAGAAACUGAACUGAGAUUAUAAAAACUAAACAAAUAUCUUCUCGAAAUUAUACGAUUACUCCAAAACAAAAAAUAAAUUUGUAAAAAACUGAACGCAAAUACCAAAUUAUAGAAGCUGAAGGGAAGAUGAAAUACCAAAAUAAUUACAGAAACUGUAAAAAUACCAAAUUUUACAGAAGUGAAAGACAAAAUAUCACUCCAAAAACUUUUGUACCUGCAAUAUCUCUACAUGUCAAAGAACCUUCAAAUAUGAUCUAAGUCUUUGGUCAUGGGACUCAUGGGAAGGACUGAACUAUCAUGCCAUAAGAUGUCAAGUAAUACUUAACAAAAAAGCAUAUUGGGAAUAUUUGUCACCCCGUUAAUUUUACUCUUCUCAUAUUUACUAAUUUAAACAUCAAAUAAUCUUCUAUUUUGAUAAAUAACUGGGUUUUUAAGUGAACACUUGUUGAACCAAGGUCAAAACCAAUCAAUAAUCUAGAGAAACAGUUUUGGAAAGCCUAAGUCCCGUUCGAUGAUUUCACGAUUCCAUCAAUCACUUAUCAGCAAUUUUUAAUUAAAUUUAACAAAAUUAAUUAAGGGGAUUUUUGAGAAAAUCUUUGUCGAUAUACAAUCAUCGAUCUUUUGAUCAAAUUUUGAGGUCUACCUAUGAUCAUCAGCAGCUACGACAAAGUGGAAGAUUCGACUUCACCAUUGACAUAUAUAAAGAUUUUUUAUUACUAGAAACCUGGGUUUAAUAUUAUAUAUGUGUGUGUGUGUCAAAUUAAUGAAUGGACAGAUAUGUUUGGUGUUCGAGAUAUAGCAAGACCGUAUACAAAAACUAAUCAUAAAAAACAAAGGCAUCGAUUGACCCCAUGUACAUUUAGAUUAAACUCUCGUCUAGUGCCAUGUAUCAAGCAGAGUACUGUCUUGUUGGUUCUUCAUUAUGAAGAACAAUAAAACAAUCAAAUAUUAUAGAUUAAUCCAUAGAUAUCAUAUGGAAACAUGCAUAAAUUACAUGCCCAUGUAUAUAGGUUAGACAGAACACAAAACAUUAAUUCUAAACUCAUGAGUAAGCAUGUCUUGUCAUCACUAGGCUAUGAUAAUAUAAAAUUUAAGGUUUGAUCUACCCAUAGUAGAUGACUAAUUAAGUGCUUAGUACUGACACCUCCUAUCUAGAAAUGUUAUUGGUCGAGCUAAUUUUUUGUACCAGAGAAGCUCAAGUCAAUAAAUCUCUCAACUACCGAUAUAGUUGCCAUAAAUAUUUAGGGAAUCAUCUCAUGAGUUAAUGCUUCAACUCAUAUUUGUUAAACUCAAUUAACGGGUUAAUUUAAAAAAUUUAUAAUUCAGAAUUUGAUAUGGAUUAUGUUUUAAAUUAAUAAAAAAAAUGAUAAUUUGUGAAACACAGUUCACAUAUCGAGUAUUGGAUCAACUUGACAAUUACCUUUUAUGGAAGAGCCUAGGCAUAUAUGGCCAUGGGUUGUAAGACUCGCCACCACAUUUUUACAAGUGUUUUAGGCCCAUUAUUGGUCAUUCGGCUAAGAAACACACGUGAAAUUCUAUAGAAUGUGCCCAAAAAUUUGCCUCCAAUAUAUACACACGUUCUCAGACAGCUGAAAGCAGCAUUUGGUGCCAGCACGAGGCUUGAGCAACAGUCCUACAGCCAGCAAAAUUGACUUUUUUUUUCUUCAGGUAAAUCCCUUUGCUUUUCUUCUUAUCGAUGUUAAUGAUAAUCUUGUGUUAUAUCAUAUGUUGUUUCUCUGUCUGCUAAAUUCAGUUACAUGUAUUGUGGUUUGGAAUUUAUAUAUACUAAAGAUGUUAGUUUAUCCUGGCAACUAUAUAUGUUGGAGUUUAGAUCAACAACGUACUGAGAAAGUGUUUGUGGGUUCGAUUCAAUAAAGAAGAUUUAGAAGGACCAAGUUGGUGAUGUAUGAGGACUGUUACUGCUUUAGGCAAUGGAAAGAAAUGCAUGAUCUAUUGAAGUGUGUUUCUAAUAAGAAGAAAAUUAUUAGUGUUUGAUUGAUGCAUGCAUGAUCAGAUGGAGGGUUGGAGAUCAGGUAUUAUUUCAUAACAGGGGGACUUGUUGUAGCUUCGUUUUCAAAGCUGCUACUAGGGAGCUCCAGUGGGAUUUUGAGCUGGGGUUUGAUGGGGUAUUUGAAGACGGGGAUCUUUUUUCUAGCUGUUUUAGGUCAGUACAGUUGAUUGGUGAAUAUUUCUUAGACCGAGGUUGGUCGAAAGGAGUGUCAAUAGGUGCAAGGGAGGAUGAAGCUGGCUCUUGGAAAAGCACCAGUAGUGAUUGGAAAGUCUCUCAUCUGAGGUAGGUGAUGGGUGAAGGAACUUGUUGCGACAAGUGUUUGAUGUGGUGAAGAAGAAAAGGGAUUCAUGUUUAGUUAUAUUGAGGGCGAAGAGUGGAUGGCAUCAUGGGAUUUGACAUUCAAAGGAUUUCUUUCAGCCAAUAUGAAGUGUGUUGAUAAUAAGUAUUGAAAAGUUCUAGGUGGAUUUCGGCGUAUCUAAGACCCAAGCAUUUCUCACUUCUGAAUAUUUAAGGAUGCUGAAAACAACAAUGGCAAUUAGACCUGAUUUCUCUUUCCAUCUUCCCAUUUUCCUAGUUUUUCUCUUAUUGUAAUCGGUGUUCAAUGAAGUUUUCUAAAAACUUGGUUUCCUUCUUGUUUCCAUUAACCAAUUUCCACCUGAUCUGGCUUAAGCAGUUGUUUCUAAUGAGUUCUCAAUGUUUAGCAGAAAUUAUGCUUGCUUGUUGGAUAUUAUACAUAAAAACUCAAACUUUGUCCCGCCAUCAUUAUUUGCAAGCUUAUAAACAAUUUCAUAUAAUUUGAAGCAGCCUCCUUCCCCUUAUCUACUGAAUCGUAAUGUAAUUUCAAGUGAAAGCAAAUUCCAUGUUCUCACAAUAUGGCUCAUACCUGCAUUUCUCAGGAGAGAGUAUUUCAGCUGACACAUUUUUCAGUCUGGGGACUCUAUUUCUGAAUACUUGCUAUCCCAUUGCUGACUGCUAUGUAAUGUUUUCAUAUUUGUUAAUUGAUUGCAGCCACCGGAUUCAUCCAGGAGAAGCCACCAUUUCCAACCAGUGUUUUCGUGAAUGGAAUCAGAUAUGGUAAUGCAUCAUGGAGGAUGUCAUUGCAAGAGAGUAAGGUGGCGAAUCCAAGCACCAAGCAGUGUUGUAGCUUUGAACUGCAACUGUUCUAUUUGUUCCAUGAGGGCUGGCAUUCAGUUCAUUGUCCCUUCUGAAAAGUUUGAGCUUCUAGGAGAUUCCAAAGAAUUUCUUACAACCUACACUUUUGGCACGCAUACAGCAAAGCACACAUUCUGUAAGUUCUGUGGCAUAACUUCGUUUUACGUUCCACGAGCAGAUCCAGACGGGUUUUCGAUUACUGUCAGUUGUGUUGACCCUGGGACUCUCACUCAUGUUGAGAUUAAGCACUUUGAUGGACAGAAUUGGGAAAGGUCAUACAAUCAAACAUUUGCUUAAUGCUCCCAAGGUGCUGGCUGCUGAAGUGUCGUUCUUUCUACCACCACUCUCCUCGCCUUCCCUCCCUAAAGUAGUACAAUAUUAUGGAAAAACCUUUGUGAUAUCGCUCUUUGGAACAUUCUCAAAGUUGGAAAAUAAAAUUAGCUAUGUUAGCUAAUUGAUUGGUUAUACGUGUAGCUAAUUGAUUGGUUACUUGUGCU
rnacentral:lncRNA from 1 species